AGAAAUAUAUAAUUAUAGCCUUUCUUCCUUUGGUUUUAUUUUUUAGGGUUUGAAGUGGAAGAAGAAGGAGAAAGGGAGGUUAGGGAAUUAAAGUUUGGUGAUGCAUAUCCUCCCCAUAAAUCCCGGAUGGAUAUCACAACACAAAUCCUCCCCGUAUAAGAUUUAGCUUCCAAUUGCCCUAAUACUCCUAUAUAUAUAGGAAUGGAAGGAAGAAGACUCUCACAAAACCCCAAGAAACUCAUUACAGAAUCGCCUCCUCCAUAUUAAAGAAUCC
rnacentral:lncRNA from 1 species